rnacentral:rRNA from 1 species
AGAUUGAACGCUGGCGGCAUGCCUAACACAUGCAAGUCGAACGGGAGUAGCAAUACUCUAGUGGCGGACGGGUGAGGAAUACGUAGGAAUUUGCCCUUAAGUGGGGGAUAACCCGGGGAAACCCGGAUUAAUACCGCAUGACCUCGAAAGAGCAAAGUGGGGGAUCGGCAAGACCUCACGCUUUUGGAGAAGCCUACGUCGGAUUAGCUAGUUGGUGAGGUAAUGGCUCACCAAGGCGACGAUCCGUAACUGGUCUGAGAGGAUGAUCAGUCACACCGGACUGAGACACGGUCCGGACUCCGUACGGGAGCAGCAGUGGGGAAUAGUUGGACAA